rnacentral:rRNA from 1 species
UACGAAGGGGGCGAGCGUUGUUCGGAUUUACUGGGCGUAAAGAGCGCGCAGGCGGUCGUUCAAGUCGCGUGUGAAAGCCCCCGGCUCAACUGGGGAGGGUCAUUCGAUACUGAUCGACUGGAAGGCAGGAGAGGGAAGCGGAAUUCCCGGUGUAGUGGUGAAAUGCGUAGAGAUCUGGAAGAACACCAAAGGCGAAGGCAGCGUCCUGGGAAGCAUCUGACGCUCAGGAGCGAAAGCGUGGGGAGCGAACAGG